rnacentral:piRNA from 1 species
UGUGAUGGGAGUGGGACUGCCAGGAGA